AUUGAACGCUGGCGGCAGGCCUAACACAUGCAAGUCGAGCGGAUGAAGGGAGCUUGCUCCUGGAUUCAGCGGCGGACGGGUGAGUAAUGCCUAGGAAUCUGCCUGGUAGUGGGGGAUAACGUCCGGAAACGGGCGCUAAUACCGCAUACGUCCUGAGGCAGAAAGUGGGGGAUCUUCGGACCUCACGCUAUCAGAUGAGCCUAGGUCGGAUUAGCUAGUUGGUGGGGUAAAGGCCUACCAAGGCGACGAUCCGUAACUGGUCUGAGAGGAUGAUCAGUCACACUGGAACUGAGACACGGUCCAGACUCCUACGGGAGGCAGCAGUGGGGAAUAUUGGGCAAUGGGCGAAAGCCUGAUCCAGCCAUGCCGCGUGUGUGAAGAAGGUCUUCGGAUUGUAAAGCACUUUAAGUUGGGAGGAAGGGCAGUAAGUUAAUACCUUGCUGUUUUGACGUUACCAACAGAAUAAGCACCGGCUAACUUCGUG
rnacentral:rRNA from 1 species